ensembl:lncRNA
AUCUUGCUGAAGAUUCCUGUAUUCUGGAGGUCUUCUAAGGGAAUGGAGCUGGAUCACGUUUUCAUUUGAGAUCCAUUAAAAGAAUGGCAAUCAGGCUGCAGCUGCACUGCUAAAAAUCUGUUUUAAUUAUAAACAACAAUAAAAAUCCAAGAACACAAAUAGGCUCCAGACACACGAGCCAGUAGAAAAAUCGCAUUGUGGAGCCUUUAAGCGGUGACAGUGCCUGAACUGCACCAAUGCCUGAACACCAGGAAAAUCCAUGCCUUCACCUACAAAUAAAAUGACUUGGGACAGAAAGACACGCAGUGGUUUGGCUCAGAUGCCUCACACACACUGACCAUGCAGUGACUUUCAAAGACAGAAGUAUGUCCUCUGGAGCACGUUCUUAAGUGAGGUUAACAGCAUAAGGUCAGCCAUGCAAAAGGGAUUGAGCAGAACGUUCUCACUCUUUACCUGAGUAAAAUGCAGGCAAUGACCGGGGCACUGGAAGAAGUGCUCAAAUGCUGGGCUGAAGAAAAGAUGCCUCGCAGGAAAAGCAGUCUCUCUAAUGGCAUAAGGACAGAACUCCAUUACCCUCCUUCUAAAGUGUAUAACAGUUCCUAUCUGGCUAGGAAAUACCCAGGCCUUUGAAAAAUCCAGCUGCUGCCUUCAGCUUUCUGACUGACUUCAGCUGUCAAUUCCUCCUCCUGAUGGUGCAGAUCGCUACUUCUGUUUAUUCUUCUUAGAUUUACUUGUCCCUGUAUCUACAAGCAAAGCUCUUUUCAAAGCUAUUCUUCCUUAACCUGUGGUGCAGAGGGGAGGAAUAGCAGCAUGCUCAACUUGACCUCUGUGCGCUCAUGCAUGCACACACAACAAUUUGUUGUCAACAGAUCAUGAAGCUCUUCUCAAAGUACUGACUGUAGAACAGUGCCCAUGAGGAAAGGACCCUUCUUUGCUCUGGUUUCUGAUGACUCUGCAGUAGGGGCCAGCCAGCAGGUUAAUGGGAUAGAGAGACAGAAACCUUGGCUCUGGUAUGACUUUGUGACAGGCUUACUAUGUGACAUUGAAAAAGUUACUUUUCAUUUGUUUUCCCUCCAUGCUUUGUCUGUUGAAAGCUGUGUUCUCUUUGGGACACCAUCCUCUUCCAGCAUGUUUAUCUCUUGUCUCUUUUCUGCUCUGGGAGCCCUACCUGCACUUUCAAAGCAGUUAUUAUUCCCAACAACCCAAAGCUCCUGAAUUCCUUGCCAGGGAAAGAGAGGAAGGUGGCUUCUCAUCUACUUGAUAAAUGAGUUUAAUACUGCACACGCUUGAAAUUCAAUUUGUACACCAAUAUGCAUAUCUCAGAAGGCAAUGAGUAUUUACAAUAUUCAUAUUGUGAUCCACAAAAUUGACUCAGUAACUUAAUUCUCU